rnacentral:lncRNA from 1 species
UUUGUCAGUAUUAAAAAGAUAUGUUAUAAUAUCAUCACGCAUACGCACGAUUAGAAUUUUGGCUUAAGAUGGAGGUCAAACUAAUUGGUGCGGAACUUAAUCUUUGCAAAUAAAAUAGCUUCUGCGAUGUCGGGAACUUGUUGUUUAUUGCUUCUCCAUCAAGCAGAUGUGUGUCUUAAACCGAAAGAUUCAACGCCGAGCAGCAUAUUAUCUCAUGGUCGAUGACGCAGUGCCUUUCGUCAGAAAGAAGGAUUGAGAAUGAGAAUGUUUUAUAUGCGCCAACCAUCUAACUGUUUGAUUUGCUGAGAAGCUGAAAGUUAUUCUGAAAAGAAUGGCUCACAUAGGAAGCAGAAAUGAGCCUGAAUCCUUUACCGUCGAGCUGGAGGAAGCGAGGAGGAGCAUGGAGUCAUCAUUUCGAGCCGCUGCUGCGAGCUUCAGGAGAAGCUUCAGCAGUGCCAGAAGGGAGGGUGAUGAUGAUGACGAAU